GAUGAACGCUGGCGGCGUGCCUAAUACAUGCAAGUCGAGCGAACGGACGAGAAGCUUGCUUUUCUGAUGUUAGCGGCGGACGGGUGAGUAACACGUGGAUAACCUACCUAUAAGACUGGGAUAACUUCGGGAAAUCGGAGCUAAUACCGGAUAAUAUUUUGAACCGCAUGGUUCAAAAGUGAAAGACGGUCUUGCUGUCACUUAUAGAUGGAUCCGCGCUGCAUUAGCUAGUUGGUAAGGUAACGGCUUACCAAGGCAACGAUGCAUAGCCGACCUGAGAGGGUGAUCGGCCACACUGGAACUGAGACACGGUCCAGACUCCUACGGGAGGCAGCAGUAGGGAAUCUUCCGCAAUGGGCGAAAGCCUGACGGAGCAACGCCGCGUGAGUGAUGGAGGUCUUCGGAUCGUAAAACUCUGUUAUUAGGGAAGAACAUAUGUGUAAGUAACUGUGCACAUCUUGACGGUACCUAAUCAGAAAGCCACGGCUAACUACGUG
rnacentral:rRNA from 1 species